AAAGCUCCUCCAGGUUAUGUUGGUGAUUACAGCUGCCAAUAAGAGAGUGAACUAGAGGCAUUGCUUCCUAGGGAGAUCAUCUCCAUACAUUCAGAAUGCAGUAGGUGAAGAAGAAAUUGGUGAAGCUGGUGAACUAUGAUCUGGGAUAUCUCUCUAAAACUUUGGUCAAAGAAAUUGGUUGUUUAGAGCUAACGGGA